rnacentral:rRNA from 1 species
GACAGAGGCCUCGAGCGUUAGGCGGAAUCACUGGGCUUAAAGCGUGUGUAGGCGGGCCCGUAAGUGUCUUGUGAAAUCCCAACGGCGUCAACCGUGGAACUGCUGGGCAUACUGCGGGUCUGGGCCAACUAGGGGCAGCCGGAACAAGCGGUGGAGCGGUGAAAUGCGUAGAUAUCGCUUGGAACGCCGAAGGUGAAAACA